rnacentral:lncRNA from 1 species
AUGACCCCCAACCAAGAGGUGAACAGAGCACAGGGGUUUUUCACAGAAUUCCACCUUAGACACACACAAUGCGCUGAGAGCCUCUGGAAGUCCCAUGGUAUCUGCCUGAGAGGAAGCGAGAAAAGUGAGAAAAGGUCAAACUACGAUGGAAAAAACAAAGGUGGACACAAGUCACAAAAUCAUGUUCAGUUAUUCAGCAACAAUCUCAUUUCUGUUUUAUCGACCGACCACCCAGAGGUCACUUACCAUCUGGUGCACAUUGCACACAAAAAUGGCAAGCUCUUUCUUUAAUUAUCAAGCUCUGUUCUGACUGGCUGUCUGCUACACAGUUUCACAGAGUCUACGUGCAAAUGCUUUUACUAGUCUGCUGGGAAAACAAAAAGUUAUUUUUGCAAAGUACUACAAGCUACUACAAAGAGCACUUCUGUGGAAGAAAUACCUGUAGAUACUGGAAUUGGCAGUUAUCUGGAAUAAAUUCAGCAUUGUUUGAGCUUAGUAAUAGUCCCAAGUAAAUGGGAUAUUCAUGUGCAUAACUGAGUGCCUGAUUAAUUGGCAGCCUACUUUUGGAUAGACAGAAAUUUGGAUUACUGUCACACAUGUAGGCGGUUCUAGACCAGAAACACUGCAAAUGGACAAGGCACAAUCAGAUAACUGACAUAAACUGUAAGCAGAGUAGAAUAGAAAACAAACAUGAACUAAUUAUGGUCUGUUUUCAAAUUUCGCAACUGACUCGGUCUACAGCAGCUUUGCGGUGAAAUUAUUCAGGCACCAAAACCUCUCUGCGCUAAUUGAAUAAGAGAGGCUUUUCAACUUGGGCAAAAACCAAGUCAGACAGUGAGCCUGCAUGAGAACAAUUAUACAAUCUGCACUGAUUUUUACUAGCUUCAGUUCAAACAAUCCACAAACAGUGAGACAAUGACACUUAGCAUUCAUAUCUAAUCUUUCAGAGGAUAAUUAGUCUAUGAACACAGCACAGGAAAAGGACUGUCUGCAUCAGCACUCCAAUAUUGGCUGUGACCUCUACAUGGCUCUUCCUGAAGUCAUGCUCGUCACCCCUUACAUGUUCCUACUUGUGCUAACCUCCUGCGUGCACACAUAACUUCUCACUGUGACACUGAAUCAACAUGGAGCCAUUGUCCUCCAUCUUUGUCUGUGGGAAUAUCAGAAGCACUUUUUUUCAUCUUCGGAAAGUGAUCUGAUUUACUCCACACUCAGAUCAGCUGCUAUUUGAGGAGUUCCAUGUUGCAUUUGAAUAUCAAAGCCCAUGAGAAGGUGGCCAGACACUUUAAAUGCCAUUUUUGCACAGCACUUUUGUUAGGGAAUGUGACCACUGAAGUGUUGAAGACCAAAUAAAUGAGUUUGGAGAAACAAAGCCUGCUUUGUGCAGCACAACAAACACAUGCACACACACAAAAUACAAGAUAACCCAUUACUUUCUGAAUCCAAAAAUAGGCAAAUGUUUGACUACUGCACUUGAAUUCUGGGUCAAGUCCAAGAUUAACAGACGUGUCAAUACGGAUUACAUUACUGUUACAGACACAAUAAUAUCCUCAGGACUAAGCACAGAAUCUUGAGUGCCAAAAGUAUUAUUAAACUACAAACAACAUUGCAGUCACAAAUGGUUUUCAAAAGGCUCCUCUCAUUGAAACAGCAUUUGAGGUUCAUGGAAAGGGUUUUCCACUAUUUCCCUCACAUUCUGCUUCCAAGAUGUGAUGCCACAUGUGAAGCUAAAAGUCUCUGCCUGUGGUCUCUUCUAUUUUUAAGACAUUGUGCCCUCUUUCAGGGAUAAACUACAUCACUUAUAUCUGUAAAUCAAGAGGGACAGACACAAUAACAAUCAGAGGCCUUCAACUACGCUAUAAGAGCUCUCUGAUCAACUGGUUUUGUGUGAAAGUACAAGAGGAGCCUGUUAUUCAGCACACCAAUAAUUUUCGCAAAGCUGCCAGAAAUUCAAAAGACCCACCAGAUCCAAGGGGCACCGGUGUAAAGGCCAUUAACUAUCUGUGUUAAUUUAUGUGCUUGUUCACUAAAGAAACGACCUUGUUAACAUCUAUUUCCAUCAGUACCGUUGAGAUAUUUGCCAAGGACCAUGAAUAAGAUGGUCAGGCAUUCUCGUUUCCCUUAAAAUUGAGAGGAGAUGAAUGGGAAGGCUUUUUACAUAACUUUACCAACUCAUAAAAAGGCCUCCUUUGUGAGGGUACAUGGAGUUGACCAAAUCUGCAAGCCUUUUUAUCACCUACCACCAGCAAGAUUGCCUUUUCUUUCUGUUUUUAACUAACACAAUUCAGCUAAAAAAAAAAAAGACUCAACAAAAUGAAAACUUGAUGUCAAUGCAUGCAUAACAUAACAUCCACAGGCAUAAUCACACAAUGACUGUCUCUUUGUGUUUUUCUAAUCUGCAUGUUUUCUGAAAGUAUGUUUACAUAAGGGUCAUAGAGGAUAAGAAUAGAAUAUACUAUCACGAAAAAAAAAAAUACCUGCAUCUCAAACACGGUAAGAGAAAGCCAGGACAAGUUGCUGUGCCAAUAAGCUCUGUGACUUUUUUUUUUUCCGCAAGGGCAGCUAGCAAUUUUCACAACUUGUCUAUUUUGUUGUUUUACUACCGUACUUCAGAGUGUUUGAAACAAAACACCACUUCAGGCUUAAUGUCUAAAGGAUGUCUCAUAUCAACAUUUAUUUACUGUCAUUUUCCAUCAAGACAGUGUAGAUAUAUUCAAGGUUAUUUCCCUUUCUAAGUGCACAAAUCAAUGAAUUUUACACACUCUGAAAAUCUGAAAACAUAUGAAGAAAAGCAUUUCCAGGCCACGGGUCCUCAUAAAUUUAGAGUGAGGUCUUGGCUCAUAACUAAAACUGUAACCUGAGUCCUACCUUUCUACCUGAGUGCUCCUCUGGCGGAUUCAAAUGAAUGUGAUUUAUUGAAAGGAUUUAUAUUAAAAAGCAAUUCAAUAAACAUUCAGUGACACAACUGUUUCCAGUAUAACAAUCCAAGAUUUUUUUUAAUUGAUGGGAGAUUCUUCAUGAUAAUGAAAGCUAUAGAUCAAUUUAAAAGUGUCUACAAUUAAACUUCAUAGAAAGAUAAAGUGAAUUUACAUCUUUCAUUUAGAUGCUGUGCCAUCAGUUAAACUAGUUAUGCCGGUACAGUUUCAUUUAUAUGCUAAGUUGGUAACAGUGACAUGAGAAAAGUCUGAGAUCAGUGUCUGACAGUAAGCAAACAAAUCCCUGCAUCACCACAAAGUGAACAUUGUGAACCGGUCCAUUGUGAACAAACAGCAGUCAAUAUAAAUCACAGUACAAUGGAAGAUACCUUGUACAGUCAGAUAAAACGACUGCAUUCUUCCCCUUGUUGUUCAUUUCUUUGAAUUAUCUUGCUUCUUGUGGAGCUAGUGAAGAUAGUAGAUAAGAUAUGUAACUGAGGCAAAUGUCUGUUAUUGUACAGACCUUACACAGCAGCCUCCACUGCAUUCAUGAUAAGCAUGAAGUCAUAAACUGUUGCAAAAUUAAAAACUAGGCUGCACAAGGUUAGUUCAAAAGGGCUAGAUUUUCAUCAAAGAAACGUAACCUUGCAUCACAAGAGUGCUUGUUACAUUCAUAAAUUCAUUAAUCGUGUUCCACUAAUUCAUAUAUGCACCCCUGUUGCUUAACACAAUGAUUGCAAACUAUAUAUUAUGUAUCUCUACUAAAUCUGGAGACUUUUGAAAAAAAAAAUGCUAUUUGUAUUAGAUGCUCUUUCUUAACUAAUGUGAAUAUAUUGGGAAAAAAUGCUACAAAGAGUUUAUGUAAAUUAAAGCCUGGCACAUCAAGAUUAUAUGAAAUUAAUAAGUAGCUAUUUGUUAUUACUUUCAGUAACUAUUAAGCCAAUAUGCGAUCUCUAACAUGUCAGUCAAUGUCACACUUACAAAACUCAGCUUUUUAUCUGACUCACCUGUCAUUGACAUCAGCUCGUCUAGAUUGUUCUUCCAGAAAGUUCGUUGUCCGUCACAGUAUAUUGCCUACUGCAAUUGAUGUUUUGUAGCCAUAAAUUAAAUAAAUCUUAACAAACAGUAAUUCUUUACAAAUGUUUGGCGUUAAUUACUUCAGGAAUCAGUAAUUGACUUAACUUCCACGUGGCGACAAAUAGGCUAUACAGAGUGGAAGUGUGCUUAUAUUAUCACUCUUACCUGUAAACUGAGAUAUAGUGUAAGUGAAAAACAAAACCUAGUUAAUAUAAGCAGGGUUUAACGUCAUUAUUAAUCUUUGUCACCGGUCAGUAAUAAAACCUGUUACUGACUGACCGCCAAAAUAACGGUCAUCCUCGCGCAUCUUUCUCAAGGACGCGGAAAUACGUAAUCAAGCAGGA